rnacentral:rRNA from 1 species
GACGAACGCUGGCGGCGCGCCUAACACAUGUAAGUCGAACGAGCGAGAGAGAGCUUGCUUUCUCAAGCGAGUGGCGAACGGGUGAGUAACGCGUGAGGAACCUGCCUCAAAGAGGGGGACAACAGUUGGAAACGACUGCUAAUACCGCAUAAGCCCACGACCCGGCAUCGGGUAGAGGGAAAAGGAGCAAUCCGCUUUGAGAUGGCCUCGCGUCCGAUUAGCUAGUUGGUGAGGUAACGGCCCACCAAGGCGACGAUCGGUAGCCGGACUGAGAGGUUGAACGGCCACAUUGGGACUGAGACACGGCCCAGACUCCUACGGGAGGCAGCAGUGGGGAAUAUUGCACAAUGGGGGAAACCCUGAUGCAGCGACGCCGCGUGGAGGAAGAAGGUCUUCGGAUUGUAAACUCCUGUUGUUGAGGAAGAUAAUGACGGUACUCAACAAGGAAGUGACGGCUAACUACGUG